GUGACGAAGCGACGCCGCGUGCGGGAAGAAGGCCUUCGGGUUGUAAACCGCUGUCGGGAGUUAAGAAAUGCAAGGGUGUUAACAGCGUCCUUGCUUGACUAAGGCUCCGGAGGAAGCCACGGCUAACUCUGUGCCAGCAGCCGCGGUAAUACAGAGGCGGCAAGCGUUGUUCGGAAUUAUUGGGCGUAAAGAGCACGUAGGCGGCUGUGUAAGUCGGUUGUGAAAGCCUUCCGCUCAACGGAAGAAGCGCAUCCGAUACUGCAUAGCUCGAGUGCGGGAGGGGAGAGUGGAACUUCUGGUGGAGCGGUGAAAUGCGUAGAUAUCAGAAGGAACACCGGCGGCGAAGGCGACUCUCUGGUCCGUAACUGACGCUGAGUGUGCGAAAGCUAGGGGAGCAAACGGGAUUAGAUACCCCGGUAGUCCUAGCCGUAAACGAUGGGCACUAAGUAGAGGGGUUUU
rnacentral:rRNA from 1 species